AGACAGUAGUAAGCCACUAGGGAGGUCAUUACAGCUGCAAUCAAUUAGAAAACAAAGCAUGAUGUAGAGCUCCUCUCCUAAUAGCAGCGUUUCUCUCGUUAAUCACUACGAAGUGCAAGAAUGUCAUGUUUAAACGUGACUCUUCGCUGCAUGCUUCAGUUUAAUUGAUUGGACACCAAAUGCUUCAGGAUUUGUUUUCCCCUCCUCAGAGACCGGCGGCUUCAUUCUAGCUGCGGCGUAACGUUUCGCCCCGCGUGGACGGAUUCGAUUGACGACUAGACUCGACUGGAGAGUCGCGCACCUUCACGCGCUGGUCCAGCUGCGUGCACAGCAACCAGCCCGCUGCCCACCCUCAGCGAUGUCGUGGCU